rnacentral:lncRNA from 1 species
AUUUCUAGUAAAAGCAGGAGUCCAACAUUCUGCCUAAUUGGCUUUUCUGUUUAAUUUACAGUACAUUAAGGAAAGGCUGGUCUGAAGCUCAGUAGUACCAUUGGUUUCCUCAUGGUUGCUUCAUUUUGAGCACGUCUCAGUACAAGGCAGGCAACUUUGUCUAAGGCUGUUUGGAAAUGGAAAUUAAUAUCAAUACAUUCUCCUUUCACCGGUGUUUUGGUGAACUUUUCAGGAAGCAUGAAGGAAAGGAAUGACAUGAUUUUUCUUUACAAAAGUGCAUCUACACACUGAUUUAGCAAACUGCAUAUGAAAGGAGGGAUGUAAACAGACUUUGACUGUGCCUAUAUGGAGAUCUUGGACCCUGUUAUGCCUUGUAUUGAUCUGGAGGUCAACCAGAACAUGCUUAUUCUGGAGCAGAACAAUAAGAUGGAGAUAACAGAACAGGUACCUGAUCCCUUGGCUGAGUAUAAACUGGGACCCAAUCCAUUGCUUUUUGACGUCAAUAAGACUGUGGCUCUUUCAAGGGCGUGCAUUUAUCUUGUCAAUGUGGUCUAA